rnacentral:rRNA from 1 species
CAGCAGCCGCGGGAAUACGUAGGUGGCGAGCGUUGUCCGGAUUUAUUGGGCGUAAAGGGAGUGUAGGCGGUCUUUUAAGUCUGAUGUGAAAGCCCACGGCUCAACCGUGGAGGGUCAUUGGAAACUGGGAGACUUGAGUGCAGAAGAGGAGAGCGGAAUUCCAUGUGUAGCGGUGAAAUGCGUAGAUAUAUGGAGGAACACCAGUGGCGAAGGCGGCUCUCUGGUCUGUAACCGACGCUGAGGCUCGAAAGCGUGGGGAGCAAACGGGAUUAGAUACCCCCGUAGUCCCUGUCUCUUAUAC